GUCCACGCCCUAAACGAUGAUCACUCGAUGUGUGCGAUACACUGUACGCGUCUGAGCGAAAGCAUUAAGUGAUCCACCUGGGGAGUACGACCGCAAGGUUGAAACUCAAAGGAAUUGACGGGGGCCCGCACAAGCGGAGGAGCAUGUGGUUUAAUUCGAUGAUACGCGAGGAACCUUACCAGGGCUUGAAAGUUAGUGAAGUAUGUGGAAACAUGUACGUCAGCAAUGACACGAAACUAGGUGCUGCAUGGCUGUCGU
rnacentral:rRNA from 1 species